rnacentral:rRNA from 1 species
CCUACGGGCGGCAGCAGUGAGGAAUAUUGGUCAAUGGGCGCGAGCCUGAACCAGCCAAGUCGCGUGAGGGAGGACGGCCCUACGGGUUGUAAACCUCUUUUGCCGGGGAGCAACGGGCGUCACGUGUGGCGCCACUGAGAGUACCCGGAGAAACAGCAUCGGCUAACUCCGUGCCAGCGGCCGCGGUAGUACGGGGGAUGCGGGCGUUAUCGGGUUUUGUUGGGUUUAAAGGGUGCGUAGGCGGAUCGUUAAGUCAGUGGUCAAAUGGAGGGGCUCAACCCCUUCCCGCCAUUGAAACUGGCGCUCUUGAGUGGAAGAGAAGUAUGCGGAAUGCGUGGUGUAGCGGUGAAAUGCAUAGAUAUCACGCAGAACCCCGAUUGCGAAGGCAGCAUGCCGGCUUCCGACUGACGCUGAAGCACGAAAGCGUGGGGAUCGAACAGGAUUAGAUACCCUAGUAGUC